rnacentral:rRNA from 1 species
CACGUAGGGGGCAAGCGUUGUCCGGAUUCAUUGGGCGUAAAGAGCUCGUAGGCGGUUCGAUAAGUCGGAUGUGAAACCUCCAGGCUCAACCUGGGAGACGCCACCCGAUACUGUCGUGACUAGAGUCCAGUAGGGGAGCGUGGAAUUCCUGGUGUAGCGGUGAAAUGCGCAGAUAUCAGGAGGAACACCAGUGGCGAAGGCGGCGCUCUGGGCUGGAACUGACGCUGAGGAGCGGAAGCGUGGGGAGCGAACAGG